ensembl:snRNA U4 U4 spliceosomal RNA
AGCUUUGCUCAGUGGCGGUAUCGUAGCCAAUGAGGGUUCUCUGAGGCGCAAUUAUUGCUAAUUGAAAACUUUACCCUGCCAUGACGACUUGAAAUAUAGUCGGCAUUGGCAAUUUUUAACAGUCUCUAUGGAGA